UUCUCCUGUUAGAUUAAAAAGUACUAUGUGAUUUUGUCUUACUGUUUUGUUGUUCGUCUUGGGUGGUUGAAGUUCUUCUAAAUUUCUGCCGGCUUUGUGUCUCCAUGCGAAUUUGGGAUCUGGGUUUUCUUCACCGUCACUUUCUUCUCUAGGUCUUCUAUUUGUUUGUAAGUCAUAGUCCAUUAUUUUAAAGAUUCCAGGGUUUUCUCCUGGAUCUGGGUUUAAAGCUGUCCAUUUUAAGUUCAUAAACUUCACUUCAAGUGAGUUCAAGAUUUUUUUCGUGUUCAUGCUAUGGUGGUCGCCAAUGUGCCUCCUGAAAACUCAUCAAGGAAUCUAUGUCUUCAGUACUUAUCAUGAAUAGAAAAUGGCAAGAUUAAAGUGGGUGGUUCCCAGAGACCUGCUUCCUUGAGUGUCCUAGCAGCAUGUUAAUGGAGUGGCCACAUGGCAGGACCAGAAGAAAAAUGAUCCAGAGAGACCUGAUAAAUUCUAGUCUCCCAUAAGUACAAAAGAAGAGCAACAGUGAAUUAAAAAAAAAAAAGGUCAUGAAACUUGGUAAAUAAGGAAUAUACUGAUUCUGCAAUAGGAUAUGGCUCAGCUGGGAGAACUCAAGAACUUGGGGAUGAAGAGCAUCUCCAAGAAACUGAAGGCCGUGGAAGUGAAGGAUUGACUUGCUGACAUUUCCAUGACAUGAAUAAAAAGAAAACAUGAUCUAUUUAAAAAUUUUUGUCAACAUACUAAUCCUUCCAUUUGUAAGGUGCAGUAACUUCUAUAUUUGUAUGAUGUUUAUUAACUUUUUAAUUAGGGGAGCUAUAAUAGCUUGUUAUUGUGUUCUCAAAAUAAUUUAUUCACAAUUAGCAAAUAAUAGAAGUAAGCAGUAGAGUUUAAGUUUAAGCACAAUAGAGUAAGGAAUAAAGCUAGGUAAAUUUAUAUACGCUCAUAGAGAGUGCUUCUAAAUUUAAAACUGACAUUCUCUACCUUUCCCAAGCAAGGACAUUGGGAGCAAGAAAAUAAGUAUUGUCUGUAGAUGGUGAAAGUAGCAAAUGAAAGGAGGGGAAUAGCAAAAGUGGACGAUUGAAACAUGAAAAACACAAUAAAACUCGUCGCAAACGCAUAAAACCACAGAAGUAAUUGUAGCACUGGUUAUCAUGCACUCCUCUACAUAAAAUAGUUAUUUGAAAAUCAAUUCAAACCAGUUAAUGAUCUGCCAGUGAUACCCUAGAAUGGUUGGCAUGGUGAAGUAAAAGUUAGAAAAUGGGACAUGUUGGUACAACCUGAUUUCCAAAAGCAGGAAAUAUGAUAGUGACUUGUGUACUUUAUUAAUUUUUGAUAUAGGCCUUUGUAUUUUAUUACCAAGAUUAAAGCUAGUAAGAUAUUCUUAUUCAAAGGCAAGUUGGCUACAGAGGAUUACAAUUUUUGUUAUUCCAGAUGUACGUGAGAUCACACACUCACACUUAAUAUGCACCUGCACCCUCACACAAUAGUCUUAAAGAGUAUUCAAAAGGUCAUAAGGUGCUAUGAAACCAAAAAUGCUGAAUCAUUCACCUAUUCUGCUUUUCCGAAAGUUUCUGAGAAGUACAGUGUGAAUUAUAGGCCUUUAGGAUUGAUGCCUAAUCUUUGUUUUGUAUGAAUUGCUGUCUGGAAGAAAAGUACAUGAGAUAUUAUAUUUUUAUU
rnacentral:lncRNA from 1 species